rnacentral:rRNA from 1 species
CGGCUCAGUAACACGUGGACAACCUACCCUUGGGACGGGGAUAAACCCGGGAAACUGGGUAUAAUACCCGAUAGUCCUCGACUGCUGGAAUGCAUCGAGGUCGAAAGCUCCGGUGCCCAAGGAUGGGUCUGCGGCCUAUCAGGUAGUAGUGGGUGUAGCGUACCUACUAGCCUACGACGGGUACGGGUUGUGAGAGCAAGAGCCCGGAGAUGGAUUCUGAGACACGAAUCCAGGCCCUACGGGGUGCAGCAGGCGCGAAAACUUUACAAUGCUGGAAACAGCGAUAAGGGAACCUCGAGUGCCAGGUUACAAAUCUGGCUGUCGUGAUGCCUAAAAAGCAUUGCAUAGCAAGGGCCGGGCAAGACCGGUGCCAGCCGCCGCGGUAACACCGGCGGCUCGAGUGGUAACCGUUAUUAUUGGGUCUAAAGGGUCUGUAGCCGGCCGGAUAAGUCUCUUGGGAAAUCUGGCAGCUUAACUGUCAGGCUUUCAGGAGAUACUGUCUGGCUCGAGGCCGGGAGAGGUGAGAGGUACUUCAGGGGUAGGGGUGAAAUCUUGUAAUCCUUGAAGGACCACCAGUGGCGAAGGCGUCUCACCAGAACGGACCUGACGGCAAGGGACGAAAGCUAGGGGCACGAACCGGAUUAGAUACCCGGGUAGUCCUAGCCGUAAA